CGACUCUCGRCAACGGAUAUCUCGGCUCUCGCAUCGAUGAAGAACGUAGCGAAAUGCGAUACUUGGUGUGAAUUGCAGAAUCCCGUGAACCAUCGAGUCUUUGAACGCAAGUUGCGCCCGAAACCAUUYGGUUGAGGGCACGUCUGCCUGGGCGUCACGC
rnacentral:rRNA from 1 species